GAUGAACGCUGGCGGCGUGCUUAACACAUGCAAGUCGAACGAUGAAGCCCAGCUUGCUGGGUGGGUUAGUGGCGAACGGGUGAGUAACACGUGAGUAACCUGCCCUUGACUCUGGGAUAAGCGCUGGAAACGGCGUCUAAUACAGGAUACGAGCUUCCACCGCAUGGUGAGUUGCUGGAAAGAAUUUCGGUCAAGGAUGGACUCGCGGCCUAUCAGGUAGUUGGUGAGGUAGCGGCUCACCAAGCCGACGACGGGUAGCCGGCCUGAGAGGGUGACCGGCCACACUGGGACUGAGACACGGCCCAGACUCCUACGGGAGGCAGCAGUGGGGAAUAUUGCACAAUGGGCGCAAGCCUGAUGCAGCAACGCCGCGUGAGGGACGAAGGCCUUCGGGUCGUAAACCUCUUUUAGCAGGGAAGAAGCGAAAGUGACGGUACCUGCAGAAAAAGCACCGGCUAACUACGUG
rnacentral:rRNA from 1 species